CCGCCCACCGCCCGCUGCUCUUUUCCCCAUCCUUUCCUCAUCCGGCUCGUCGGUCGGUCAGUCGGGAAGGCAGAGCUCGGCCGUGAGGCGGUUUCUGAGGAGGCUCGCUCUGCAGAACAGCCUCUGGGGGCGAGCGAGCGGGCGGGAGCUGGGUGGGUGGGCUGCCUGCCUGCCUGCCUGCCUUUAAAGUCGAGGGGGGAGGGCGGCAUUAAUUGCUCGCUUCUCAACGAGGGCAAGUCGCCCCUCCCUCCUUCCCCCCUCCCCAACUUUCGCGGUUUGGGUUGUGGACUCGCGGAAAGCUCCCCCCCCCCAACCUCAAAGCGCGCGCGAGGAGGGCGGGGCAGAUUCCGUCCACACGUCUACGCCCCCCCCUUUGUUUUCAGCCGUACUUCGCAAUUUCUCCCAAUUAUUGAUCAUGAUCACCGGAAAUAAUCGGGCAGGGUACUAAGGAGGGCGGGGAGGGGAGGGGGGAAAAACACCCCCACCCCCAAUCUUUGUUCUUCGGAUUUGCAAAGCGGUGGUUUAGCCCUCUUCGUUUUGCUGUAACUUCUCCCCUUCCCCCCUCUCCCACCCCACCCCCCCGUUUGAGGCCCCCCCUAGUUUAUUUUUAUUAACCUCUUUCCCUAAUAAUCCAGGGAGGGGUCGGAAGACCGACGCAUCUCUUUCUCUCUCCCCCCCUCGACCCCCCACCCCUAAAUCCAAAGUGCUGUUCACAGGAGGAGGAACGAGUCGGAAAGAAGCAACCAGAUAUUGCUGGUGCCAGGUGCAGCUUUUUAAGGGGCCCAGUUCUGAGGGAGCAGAAACACAAGAGGAGUUUACUGUACUUUGAAUCCUCAGAAUCUAAGAUUCUUUUUUAUCAACCUUCAUUAGAGGGAGGAGGAAUAUAAAAUCUGUCCCCCCACAUUUCUUUACUCUUCAGAGCAGUAGUUAGGCAUCACUCAUUGGGGUACCAGGAUAAUACAGUUCACAUGACAGCUUCUUUCUUAUGGAGGCUCUGUGACCAAACCAAGCUUGAAGAGCUAAAAGGCACUGAGAGGACUUGAUUACCUCCCUGGGGUGGGGUGGGGAGAAAGAAAGAAGGUCCCAAGAAAAGCCUCUUUGCAUUGAAGGAAGAUUGAAGCAACAGUCUCUGGAUAUUGCUGCUCUUCCCACCCCCAAGCGUUGGACAUUCCUUUCAAAGGAGACCUGACGUCUGUGGGACUAGUUCAAGAUGUGUAGUUCGGUUGCUCCCAGGCUCUGGUUUUUAACGGAUCGUCGUAUUAGGGAAGACUACCCUCAACAACAAAUCCUGAGAGCACUCAAGGCCAAAUGUUGUGAAGAGGACCUGGACUUCCGAGCUUUGGUGAUGGAUGAAGUGGUCCUGACCAUUGAGCAAGGAAACCUUGGUCUUCGAGUCAACGGGGAACUCAUCACUGCUUACCCACAGGUAGUGGUGGUGCGUGUGCCAACACCAUGGGUCCAAAGUGACAGUGACAUUACAGUUCUUCGCCAUCUGGAGAAGAUGGGCUGCCGGCUCAUGAAUCGCCCCCAAGCCAUACUUAAUUGUGUCAAUAAGUUCUGGACUUUCCAGGAGCUAGCUGGCCAUGGUGUGCCUCUUCCAGACACCUUUUCCUAUGGUGGUCAUGAAAAUUUUGCCAAAAUGAUUGAUGAAGCAGAAGUGUUGGAGUUCCCCAUGGUUGUGAAGAACACACGUGGUCAUAGAGGUAAAGCUGUGUUUCUGGCAAGAGACAAGCACCAUUUGGCAGACUUGAGCCAUCUAAUUCGUCAUGAGGCCCCUUAUCUAUUCCAAAAAUAUGUCCAAGAAUCCCAUGGCAAAGAUGUUCGUGUCAUCGUAGUGGGAGGUCGUGUGGUGGGCACUAUGCUGCGUUGCUCAACAGAUGGUAGAAUGCAGAGCAAUUGCUCGCUUGGUGGCAUAGGAAUGAUGUGCUCGCUGAGUGAACAAGGCAAGCAGCUGGCAAUCCAGGUGUCCAACAUCUUGGGGAUGGAUGUAUGUGGCAUCGACCUCCUCAUGAAGGAUGAUGGCUCGUUCUACGUCUGCGAGGCCAAUGCAAAUGAGCCAAAAAAGUCAAACAAUCCAGAGAAAAACUUCCCUUCUCCCCUUUCUGAUGGCAAGAGAAAGAGCUUGUGAAAAAUCCUUGAGAAUGUUCCUCCCUAAACUUUUCCCCCCUGUGGUAAAACAGUAAACGCAGCAGUUUGGUGGCAUCCAGUACCGACCUGUUGGCAGGUAACUUUCAGCUCUUUUGAUCAUCCCAUGUUUGCUAACAUUGCUUUCCUUUCUUCUAACACCCUAGUUUUAAUAUUAUUACUGUCCAGAAAGAAUGAGGCUUAGGAAGCAUGUUGAGUUCUUCUUGUUUUUGUUUUUUGCUUUUUUUGCUAGAGCCAUGUUUUAAUAAACCUUUUCAGGAUCCAUGUGUUCAAGUAGGAUCAUGGCAAGGAUGAGUUUAAACAACAUGCACUGCUUCAGAAAGGAGUGGUGGGAUGGUGUGUAAUUCCAUAAAUUCUGCCAUCUCCACCCUCCCAUGUUCCUGUCUUGCUCUUCUCACUCCCUUCCCCCUCCCCCCCAUAUACACUCUUGGCUUAAGUUUUUACAGGGCUUUGGUGCUUUCCAGGGGCACAAUCAGCACAAAACUAAUCGACAUCAAUUAAUAACAGAGUAAUAAAACUGGUAGGUGGCAGCAGAAGAAGGAACUUAUUCAGAUGGCACCCGUGAACUGAGAAUGCUGCCAUGUGUGGAGAGAUGGAUUCCAAAACAUUAGCUGGUGUAACGUGCAAAGAUGAGAGGCAGCUUCCCUGACUUGUCAAUCUGCAUGGUGAGUCUGACUCUUGGUCAAUUCUUAUCCACAAUAAUGGAUCUUUACACUCCACAUUUCUCCUUAAUCUGGAAUACUGACUAAAAGCCAUUAUGGAGGGUUGACAGACCUGUGUGUGCUUGUCUGGAUUUCAUGUUACACAGUACUUUAUAAGAGAUGGUUGCUGACUAGUUUAUCACAACCUUCCCCCAGGGCAUCCAUUUGCUCAUGUUAAAAAAAUGUAACACUUUCUUCCAAAAAGUACUGCUAGAUUGUAUUUUUAUCACUUCCAUUUCAAAGGCAUUUUCUAUGUAGUAUUUAUACUUCUCAUGUAUUUCAAGGUGAAGGAAAUGACUCUGUACAAAUUUCAUUAUAACAGAAAUGGAAUGUGAAAUUUGACAUUUGAUCUCACUGUGGCCCAGAUUUUCAGUUCCAAGGAAUGUUCUGCAUUAAAGAGCCAUUGGCUCAUACUUCAUGUAGGCAAUUCUGUGUGGAAUGAGCAGUUAGAAAUAGAACUCACUGGGGAAAAUUAUCAGCAGCUGAGUGGAAUGAGAAGCAAAUAUUUAUGAUCUCAAAACAUAUUAAAGUAAGAUUUCUUCGACUUUCAUAUUUUCCUACAGACUUUUUCCAAAACUGCCCCUUGAAACUUCAUAUGUUGGAAAUCAAUUGUAGCUGUACAAGCAAUUGCCAUAAGAGAUCUUUUACAACUACUUGCUUGUGAUCAUUACAGUGCCCAUUAGAUCACAGUUAAUCUGGGAGUUAAUGUGCCACAGAUUUUAACCACAAUAUAAACAAUAAUAAACCCAUGAGACAUUUCCACCAAAUGUUCAUGGUUUGCCAUCUGAACAGCUUUGCGUAAGAUAAGAAGAGUUAAUGUGCAAGUGAAUGGCUGCUGGGAUUGCAGAAAUCACUAGAAUCCAUGCAGUACUGCUUGUGGGUAAUAGGAUUCUGUGGAAACAAUUUGUUGGUGCUGCCACAUAUGUGAACUUGUUCUGUGUUUGGUUAGACCAAGGUGUCCCUUGCUUCUCAAUGAUUUUUUGAGUGUCUGAAAUAUAACACUUCUGAGAAGCACAACAUGAGUUUUGGGCUGCCUGUCUUAUUUCAGGGGGGGAAAUUGCAUGGAAACUGGACUGAAGACAGACAGAACUUCAGUUAGAAAAAGCAAGACAACCCUGAAUGAUAUAAUGAUGCAACAAGUUAGCUUUUUCCACCUACAGAGCACAUAAUAGGGUGCCUUAGAGGAGCAGGUAUCUUGAGUACCCUUUUUGCAUUUGAAGAGACUUCCAAGAGAUAUGUGACAGACUGACUUAGAAAAACAGUGGGGAGGAUCAAGGCCUUUAUUCACAGUGCAAUGUGCAACAGUCAUGUUGGAGGUGCAGAGCGUGGGGAGGGAGAAACGCUGGAGCAGGAGGAAGCAGUGGAGCAGGUGGCAGCUGGACAACAUUUGCUGAUCUGUCUCAGGCAGCAAAACGUCUUGAGCAGGCCCUGGGUCUCUUCCCCCCUCCCCCAUGAUAUUUACUUGAACUUGCUGAGUGAUGGCCAAGAAUUUGGCUUGAAGUGACCUUAGUAUAUGGGUGUCAUCCAACUCCCUCUAAUUCAGAUGUGGCAACCUCAUUUCCAGUAAUGGACUGGAUGCGGGCUAAUAAAUUGAAGCUCAACCUAGAUAUGCUGGAGGUAUGAUUAGUGGGUGGGUAGGGGACAUUCAGUUUGUGCAAGAUGGGAUAGCACUCCCUCUUGAACUGGUUCACAGCUUGAGUGCAGGAAGCUCCUGCAGCCAAUCAGAAGCCGUGCCUUGGUUUUCGAACAGUUUCAGGAGUCGAACAGACACCCAGAAUGGAUUAAGUUCAAGAACCAAGGUACCACUGUAUUGCAGAAUAGCAGGACUAUGGAAAGAGUGAUGUGGUCCUGGUUUUCUCCCAGUGCACCAACUUAACUGUAGUUUAAAGUGAUGUGUGAACUGGACCAUUGAUUGUAUGCCUCCCUAAGCUCAUUUCGUAUAAAAACUUGCUAAAAACAAUGUAAAUAAUAAAAUUAAAUGCAGUAAAAGUAGUCAUGCACUAGUCACCUGUGUCUAAGGAGUAAUUCGAUAACCUAGCAUCCUUUCACCCAGGUCCUCUCUUUUUAAUGUGGCUAAAGAAUGCUGAUUUCAGUGCAUACUGCAGACAUGCCUGUAGUCUUUCCACCACACCUGCUUUUCCCAGCUGACAUACCUGAUGAGUGUGUUCAUGUCACUGGAGGGCCAGGGGAAGCAGCUGGGAGGAAAGCUUUGUAAGUGAAAAGGAGAGAGAGGAGCAUUAGGAACCAGUACUGCAAUUUUCCUCUGCUGCUGUGCCACUGUUUAACAAAGAGCCAAGGUGUCAGCCUGUCUGCCCCCCGCCUGAUAUGUAGGUCUACAUAAGUACUGCAGACCAAUCUCUCAGUUGAGUACUUGUAAUAGAAUGUGAUUUGUGCUUAAAAGGGGGAGUAGAAAAAAGCCAGAGACACUGCACUCUCAUGCAUUUUUUAAAAAUAUUUGGAAUCAUUGCUACAGAGUUAGAGAUAUACAGAGAUAUGGCACUGAUUGAGUUAAUAUGCAAAAUUCUUCCUCUCCCACCCCCGUCUCCCUCUAGUUUCCAGAGCCCCUUUUACGUCCUGCCUAAUACAGCUUUCCUUCAGUGCCUUCAUUUCUCCAACCCAUGCUUCUCUUUGCUCUUCUUUUUCAUGGUCCUGUACAUAAGGGCUGCUGCUGUUGUUGUUCACAUCUGUCUGUCUUGAUAGACAACGGAGUGCACCUCUAGGGGCGCAGCCAAACCACUGCAUUAGCAGUACUAAAGUGACCUCCCUGGGAAGCAAGCCUGGGCAGUGUGUAUGGAGGUCCUGGGCUGCCCAGAUGACAAGACUCCUGUCUUGGCCCUUCUUGGCUGCAGGAUUUGCAGGAAGGAGACGUAUCAGGCACCAUCCAACCAUCAUAGACACUCCAUUCCGGAUUUGUGUAGGGUUUACUCCUUAGCUGGCUCUUCUCCUGAAUAUAUCUCAUGAGCCAGCAGAGGUUUAGGAUCAGAGUUUGCCUUUUCCUAUAUGAGCUACCUUCCCAGGUUGACUAGUCCCAUCUGUCCCUCACUUCCCUCUGCAGCACGUGCAGAAACCGCCUUCUUGACCGUUGGACCCACUCUUGCUCAAUCCAGUGGAGCCUGUAUUUGCAUUCAGGGGAAGUCCCUAACUCACCGAGGGUUUGAGACCCAUCAGCUACUCUCACCUGGUUUAGUCAGCCAGUCGAUGCCGUUCCCGGGAUGUGGCCGCUGUCGCUCUGACAGCUUCUAGGAGCCACAGGUGAGAGCUGACUGCAGGGUGGGGACGAAUAGCGGACGAACUACCCCAGAAGGAGCAUGGCGUGUCCCCCACCAGAGGCACUACUUCUCCCCCAGGACCCUAUACACGCCGCAUAAAGGCUAGUAAUGGUUUAAAGCCACACAAAGCUCAUGGAAGCUCCAGGCACACUGCCUUCAGUUCUGUCAUGGAAAAAAGGUGUAAUUUGAAAUAACUUGUCCAGCUUUUUUACACUGCCCUCCUUCGUGCCUCUAGGGCUCUCCUCUUCCAAGACCUCAGCUACUUUCUUUACCAGGCACUCCUGUGUCUUCUCAAGAUUCCUCCCUCUUGCUCCCUACAGCCUCAUCAGUCCUUGGGCUCCGUGUGAAGCUAUUCUUCCAUCCAAAUAGAAACUUUGAACAAAAGGUGACGUGACCAUCUAUGAGUCAAACUAGAUGUGACAAGACAACCGUGUACGUGUGUGUUGUUCAUAUGCAGAACGGGGUUAGGCUGGAUCUAUUUUUGCAUGAAAAGCAGUGUCAGUAAAGAGAAUGAAACCCCUCUUGCCUUAGCUUGCCACAUUCCAGUAUUUCUAAAAAUUCGCCGCUUCCCCUGCCCAGUCAAGCCCUAUUAGCAAAGGAAGCUGAACUCUAGAGAAACUCUUGCUGCAGUGGAAUGCAAUAAGAGAAGGGAGGGGCUUAGUUUCCCUCAAGUGCAUUUUAAAAGAACAUGUUCAAAUUGCAUACUUUGUGCAACCUGCAGAGUUUAUUCCACUUGUGUCCUAACAGUCUUGAGUUCUUGGGCUACUGGAUUUUUAGUUUUGACUAAAGCAGACAUUCAAUCAUAUGGUUAGUCUGCAGGUACUGGCAAAUACUGCAAAUUCAUUUGAUAAAGGAGCAAAGAGAAUUGCUACUAAAGUGUUUUCCCCUUCCUUUCACAUGAAGAUUUCACACAGACUCACCUGUCCCUCAGAAAAGUGGGUAGCAGGAGCCCCACCAGCCUCUGACCCAGUGUUUGGAGGAAUAAGCAAGAUUGCAGUUUGCUCUAGAAGGCCUUGGAGGCAAAACUGCUUCUCCACGAAUUCCAGAACUGUUUUUGUUCCAAAUGACAUUUCCAGAGGCAGGCUUUGUAACUGCAGGAGAAUAGAGUACUGUUGAGCUUGUGAAACUACUUAUGCACUCCCCCCCCCCCUCUAUGCAAUAUUUUCACAGGACUCUGAUGCUGGGUCAGCAGCCCCAGAGACUGCCACUAUCUCGCCAGAGGACAGGUAAUGCAUGGCAGGGGGGUAAUGGUAGCAAUAUGCUUGUUUGACCUGAGCUCAUAUUUUCUACUAUACCUCUUUCUUCCCCAAUAAUGAAGAACCAUCUUCAAGGCUAGUCAGUAUCCUUGAUGAGUCUCUGGUGGCUACCAACGACGAAGCCAACUACUCUGAUGGUGGUUUUUGUGCUACUUGUCUCUCCAUUCCCCCUCCCCAGUAUUCCAGUUCCCUGGUUUUAUAUUACGGUGACCAUUUCUCUCUUAUUUCUGUAGGGUAUAUGAAGCAUCAAGAGACCUUCCUUCCUUCCUUCUUUUUAUGGGUUUUGUUCGUUGCCCUUUGUUUCUCCAGUUGUGAAGGGAAUGGUGCAGGGUGGCAUAAAGUCCAGAGACUGAAACAAAAUGGCAUCAGUGGGAAUAACGUGUUCGUCAUAUAAUAGAAGAUGCUCAAUAAACUGCAGUUAAAGAAAA